UACGAAGGGGGCUAGCGUUGCUCGGAAUGACUGGGCGUAAAGGGCGCGUAGGCGGCUUGCACAGUCAGGCGUGAAAUUCCUGGGCUCAACCUGGGGACUGCGCUUGAGACGUGUGGGCUUGAGUGGGGAAGAGGGUCGUGGAAUUCCCAGUGUAGAGGUGAAAUUCGUAGAUAUUGGGAAGAACACCGGGUGGCGAAGGCGGCGACCUGGUCCUUGACUGACGCUGGAGGCGCGGAAAAGCGUGGGGGAGCAAAAC
rnacentral:rRNA from 1 species